UACGGAGGGGGCUAGCGUUGUUCGGAAUUACUGGGCGUAAAGCGUGCGUAGGCGGUUUUGUAAGUUUGGUGUGAAACCCUCAGGCUCAACCUGGGGACGCCACCCGAUACUGCUGUGGCUAGAGUCCAGUAGGGGAGUGUGGAAUUCCCGGUGUAGCGGUGAAAUGCGCAGAUAUCGGGAGGAACACCUAUGGCGAAGGCAGCUCGCUGGGACGUUACUGACGCUGAGACGCGAAAGCGUGGGGAGCAAACAGG
rnacentral:rRNA from 1 species